rnacentral:rRNA from 2 species
UUAGGAAUCUUGCGCAAUGGGCGAAAGCCUGACGCAGCGACGUCGCGUGAACGAUGAAGUCUUUCGGGAUGUAAAGUUCUUUUCUGAGGGAAGAAGGAUGUGACGGUACCUCAGGAAUAAGCCCCGGCUAACUACGUGCCAGCAGCCGCGGUAAUACGUAGGGGGCGAGCGUUGUCCGAAUUCACUGGGCGUAAAGCGCGCGUAGGCGGGUUAUUAAGUUAGUGGUGAAAUCCCGAGGCUCAACCUCGGAACUGCCGUUAAAACUGGUAGCCUGGAGGUAUGGAGAGGGAAGUGGAAUUCCUGGUGUAGCGGUGAUAUGCGUAGAUAUCAGGAGGAACACCCGUGGCGAAGGCGGCUUCCUGGCCAUAUCCUGACGCUGAGGUGCGAAAGCUAGGGUAGCGAACGGG